rnacentral:lncRNA from 1 species
AAAGAACGCAAAAUAAAUAAAUUUUAAAAAUGAAAUAAAAAAACAAAAAGCCAAGCACAUGUGCCCUAAUGGGAGGUGCCCUGGAGACCCCGGCCUUCUCUCCGGGCUCCCUGUUGGUGGACUUACCUGUCUGCAUCAAAAGAAGAGAUGGCAGUGGCAUAGUUGAGGUUGUAGGCGAGGACAGUGGUGUAGUGAUUGAACCCAAAAAAGUCAUAGGUGCCGUUGAUCCUCCUCUUCUCACUCUCUGUAAAUUCUGGCAGCCUGGGUGGAAGAAGCCAUUGAGGGCAGGGCUUCAGGGAGAGCCAUGCUUUGAGAAGAGAACGUCAUAGGGCUGGGGCGGGGGAGCUCUCCGAACCCCAGGCACUUGGCAGUGAGUAGGGGAAACUGGCAGGGAAGGAGAAGAGGUCCUUCAGGCGGUGCAGGAAGCACUGCGGCUCCUCCAGCCAGACCAUAAACCUGGCUUCCCUAG